rnacentral:rRNA from 1 species
CAGCUCGUGUUGUGAAAUGUUGGGUUAAGUCCCGCAACGAGCGCAACCCUUAUCCUUGUUUGCCAGCGAGUAAUGUCGGGAACUCCAGGGAGACUGCCGGUGAUAAACCGGAGGAAGGUGGGGACGACGUCAAGUCAUCAUGGCCCUUACGAGUAGGGCUACACACGUGCUACAAUGGCGCAUACAGAGGGCGGCCAACUUGCGAAAGUGAGCGAAUCCCAAAAAGUGCGUCGUAGUCCGGAUUGGAGUCUGCAACUCGACUCCAUGAAGUCGGAAUCGCUAGUAAUCGU